UAAACAAGAGACACAGCCUUCACUGAAUGGCCAGAUCUCCAUGGAAGCAAAAUUGAAACUUGGUAUGACUAUUUGGACAUUUCAAGGAAAGAAAGUACCUUCUGCUUAAAUCAUUUGAGAAAUAGUAGCCAAAAUAACUCAUUCACAUCAGUAGCUAAUUCUUCCAUCACUUAAUGCUGGCACUGAUCCUAGUUAUUUGUAUUAAGUAGCUCACCACGUCAUAGGAUUUGUUUACAUAGACAGAUGACAGGUUUGCCUUAGUGUUAAGUGCCAACAUUUAAUAAACAACAACAACAAAAGACUUUUCCUGACACAGGCAGACCUAUCUACUCAAACUUCUGGAUUACUUUAAAGGUGCUAUUGUGAGGCAGGAGUUUUCAGUACCUUCAGGAGACAUUUAUCAU
rnacentral:lncRNA from 1 species